CCACCUAACCAUCCACUCGGCAACUAAGUGAUCGAUCUAUCUUCCCCAUAUUUGAGCUUCAAUCGGCGAUGUUUUUUUAUGCGGUUAUUAAUAAAAUGCAUUGGCCAUCCCUGCCCGUCGAUAGCUGCGUCCGCUGCCGUCUGCUGAAACUGCGGCGCUUUGCUGACGCUGGUAAACAUGUGUACGACACCAAAAA